UACGUAGGCAGCGAGCGUUGUUCGGAGUUACUGGGCGUAAAGGGUGUGUAGGCGGUUCUUUUAAGUUUGGUGUGAAAUCUCCCGGCUCAACCGGGAGGGUGCGCCGAAUACUGAGGGACUAGAGUACGGGAGAGGGUAGUGGAAUUCCCGGUCGUAGUGGUGAAAUGCGUAGAUAUCGGGGAGGAACACCAGUGGCGAAGGCGACUACCUGGCCUGGUACUGACGCUCAUGAGCGAAAGCGUGGGGAGCGAGUCCGG
rnacentral:rRNA from 1 species